ACAGUGAUGUCAUGGGUGGAUGAAGUGGUGUAACGAUUCUUUCGAGCGUACGCAUAGAAACUUGAUGAGGCUAAAUGGUGGAUGAGAUUGCGAAUCAAAUCGAAGUCCAAAGGGUAAACGUAAAACCAAGACAGUAAAUCAAGGCGUUGUGAAAGA
rnacentral:ncRNA from 1 species